GGGCCCGCACAAGCGGUGGAGCAUGUGGUUUAAUUCGAUGCAACGCGAAAAAACCUUACCUACUCUUGACAUACUUGGGAGCUCUUGUAAUGAGAGUGUGCCUUAUGGAACCAAGAUACAGGUGCUGCAUGGCUGUCGUCAGCUCGUGUCGUGAGAUGUUCCGUUAAGUCGGAUAACGAGCGCAACCCUUACCCUUAUUUGCCAGCGAUUCGGUCGGGAACUAUAAGGGGACUGCCGGUGAUAAACCGGAGGAAGGUGAGGACGACGUCAAGUCAUCAUGGCCCUUACGUAUAGGGGCUACACACGUGCUACAAUGGGGAAUACAGACGGACGCUAAGCCGCGAGGUGGUGCU
rnacentral:rRNA from 1 species